UUCCCUCCAAAUUAAUGGAAGCAAAUUGAUACUAGUCCACGUCAUAGACGUAUAAAUAUUUAAAAAGAUCGUACGCCUCACGUGAAUGAGACGAAAAUCUGAGGAAAGGAUAACUUUCCUCGUUGUUAAGUCAUGAAUCUGAUAAGAAUAGAGAGAGACAUCAAAUUACCGUAAUGGUUAGUAGUAGUAAUUCGCAGAAUUAAAGCGCCUCGAUUACUGUCGAUCGCUGUUCCUGUCAGCGGCAUUGUUGGAAACGUCUUACUGGAACGGUUAUCAACACUAUUAACGCUGUUCAGAUUCAAGGCGCUUUUGUUUGUGGCUCUCGUUUGUCCUCUCCACGUGAAUAGUUCAAUGAUUUUGAAAAUUUUAAGCACUUCUGGAGAAAACGUCACGUCCUGACUUGCGACUUUUGUGAUUCUUUUACAGUAAUUGUUGUAUGUACGCCAUAUAUAUGAUGCGAGGUGAAUACUGUGAAGUUUCCAUCUCCAUUAGAUCUGCUAGAUAAUCAUACCAAACCGUUUCGCGGCAUAUUUGUGUCACGUCCGUGUCGUAACACAGUUAGCAGAUUCUGUUGUGACAGUGAGAUGCUCGAGUUUAUCAUUGUGUUGCCACCCCGGCCGAGCAUUGUUCGGCUGUGACUGUUCGCGAGCUCCUGCUUCUGUUAUUCAAAUACAAUGUCCUCGAAGAACAGAUCAUCCUCUUCUAAGGUUCAUCCUCCGGUCUGUUCCUUCUGCAAUUUGGCCGAGGACAAUGAGCUGGAAUAUGGAAAGAUCUAUGAGCACAAUGGGAUUGCCACUCACUAUUAUUGUUUGCUCUUGUCUUCGAACAUGGAACAGAAAGGAAAUGAUGACGAAGGCAUACUUGGAUUCCUUGCUGAAGAUAUACAAAAGGAACUUCGUAGGGGAAAGAGAUUGGUAUGCUCGUACUGCAAAAAGCAAGGUGCUACUUUAGGUUGUUGUAACGUAAGAUGCAAACGGAUCUUUCAUUUUCCUUGUGGCAUGAAAGCUGGUUCUCUGCAUCAGUUUUUCGGUGAAUUUAGAUCAUAUUGCAUAAACCACAGGCCGAAACAAAAGAUUGAUGAACAGGUUCUAAAGCAGGCUGCCGCAGUAGAUGUAAUGUGUUAUAUUUGUUAUGAUAAAGUUAAUACUAAUGACUUUGUGAAAACAUUAUGGGCACCCUGUUGUAAAAAAGAUGCAUGGUUUCAUCGCAUUUGUGUUCAGGUUAAUCUUAAUAUGGCUUCAUACUAUUUUUUUAAUAUGAAUACAGAUUUAUAUAUCCAAGACUCUCUCAUUUUUCAGCAACUUGCAUUGAGUGCAGGGUAUUUUUUCAAGUGUCCCUUAUGUAACAAUAAAAAAGAUUUUCAAAAAUCUAUGUUAGAAUACGGCAUUUUCGUGCCAAGUCAAGAUGCUUCGUGGGAAUUGGAACCAAAUGCAUUUGAAGAGCUUCUGUAUAGGCAUGAUCAGUGCGAUGCACCGAAAUGUCUUUGUCCAAAGGGAAGGAAGUAUACAAGUACUAACGCUAAAUGGGAAUUGGCCCUAUGUCGUACUUGCGGUUCACAAGGUAUCCAUAUGUCUUGCGGACAGUUGAAAUGGGCUAAUCCGGUGUGGGAAUGCGAAGAAUGUACAUCUAUAUUAAGUAAUGAUCGUGUAAAACUAGGCAACAGUUCUGCAAUAGGCAGUACUAGUCAAAAUAAGGAUUCUGAUUCAGAUUUAAAUUCAGACUCAGAUUCAGAUUCAGAUUCAGAUUUGGAUAGUGAUACAGAUAUCUCUGUAGGAACUGACUUCCCUAUGCCAUGCGCCUUGACUGAUUCAUCUUCCACUUCUUCCUUGGAGUCUAUUCUGGAUAAUAUUAAUUUGCGACCUGGACCACGUUCUUUUAAGUUACAACAGCAAAUGAUCAAACUAGGCCAAUGGUUGGACUUAACAAGUACUGUGCUUGAAAAGAAUAUAGCUGCUAUUGAAACUAGUACGAAAGAUGAAUCAUUAUCAAAAAAUGAAUUCUUAUCAAAAAAUGAUGACGAGAAGAAGGAGCCAUUGAUAAGUGAAGAAAGCAAGGAAAGUAAAGAAAAUAUUCUUCAGCGAGAAAGUAAGGAAGAUAGCUUCCAGAAAGAAAAACAGUUGCAUCUUCAAGGAAAAAAUAAGGAAGAUAGCCCCCGGAAAGAAAAACAGUUGCCCAGCAAAAAUGAUGAAAAAUCUCAGCCGAUUCAGACGAAGACGGAUGUUAUCAUAAUUGAAAGUGAUGACGAUGAUGUAGAGCUUAUUUCAUUAACACAAAAAACGAAUCUUUCACCUGUUCACAUGAAGCAGCUUACACAAUUUGGCAGUUUAUGUCUUCCUAGCACAUCAACAUCGAAGAAGUUAAAUGCAACAGUGGGAUCUAAAAGCCAAAGUAUAGCGACAAUUGAUUUAUUAGAAAAGGAUUAUAUCCAUUUAUCAAAACCUAUUGCAUCAGAAAGAGAAACUUCGAAGAAAAACGAAUCUACCAUCUCCAAAGACCAAAUCGAUGUACUUACAUCACAAGAAUCUACAUUAGAUCUAAUUACUUCAAACGAUGUGAAAACGGACACGGAAAAAACAAGCGAAACGUCAUUUAUGAAUAUCAAAAUUACUAAUGUUGUUUCUCUGCCACCUGAAGUGUUCGAAAAUGUACCUGAUGUUAUAUGUGACAAUAUCACAUUACAUGCGAAUACCACUAAUACCUCGCCUCUUUCUAUAAAUGAAAAAUUGGAGCAACUCGUUACCUCUGUCUCGUCGAAGCGUAGCAUGCACGAAGCGAGUAACAUUAACAACUGCAAGAAGAUCAAAAGAAAUAAUUUCGACGAAAGAUUGUUUGAAACAUGUUCUCGAGUCGGAACUACAGUAUCUGAUAGAAAUGAGACAAAUAAUACUCAAAAUGAUGCAAAAAAUAGUACAAAUAAUAUAGAUAGGCAGCAAAGUGAAAGAACAUCUGCAAACAAGUUUAUUCCGUUGUUAAGUAAGAAUUCAGCAAAUAAUUUAUCUUCACAACACAAUUAUAUACAAAUUAAGGCAAAUGAUGUGCAACAUAUGAAUCAAAUUUUAUCAAAUUUGGAAGGAAACGCUGUACAUGUUAAUCUAAACCAGAGGAACGAAAAUCGUGUCACACAAGCAAAUACGACAGAAUUUGUAACUUUCACUAAGAAUAAUCCAGUUUUGUUACCAAUUGGUAGUUAUUAUCUUCAACAAAUACCUAACCCGAAUUUUACGGCCAUUGAUCAAAAUGAUAGAAGAAAUGAAACAAACUUGUAUGGUAUAUCAUCGAAUAGCGUAAUUCUACCGCGUGUGAAAGAUAAUAUCACUGUGCUUAAUAACUCAACAGUACUUAGCAAUCCUCUGCUCGUAAAUCAACCAGUAAUGACCAAUGUAACUGCGCCUAUUCUGAGCGACAAACGAAUAGUAACAGUAAAUCAACAAGAAGCUGCCUCAAGGAAAGAUGUACCUACUAGUACAUCUAGUAUUGAGGACAUUUCCACAAACAAGACGACACACAAGAAGAACUGUAUAUCUUGCGAUUCUAACAGUGUGACGGGGAUGCAGGCACCAGACCUGCUGAGACUGAAUCUACCAACAAUAAGAAAGCUGACCCAUCAAAUUAUUCCCACAGUGUCUUCGACAAACAAACCGUUGCCCGUCAAAGAUCUAGCGCAACCUGCAGUGUCUUCCCACAAAUCACUAACAACCAUACCACAUGUCAUCGACCUGGACUGAUACCGCGUUACGUGAAUCUACAGGACCUGAAAUUUCGAGUCUGCGCAUCGAACAAUAUUGAAAUGAUCUUAUACGAUACGUUCUCCGUAAAUAUUUCGAUGAAGAACCUCAAGGAAAGUAAGAGAUUGGCAGAUGUAGCUGCA
rnacentral:misc_RNA from 1 species